rnacentral:lncRNA from 1 species
GUCAUUUAUCUGAAGAUCCCGCGUUGAACGGGUGAAACCGGAAUGGAAGAUGGUUUGUCUUGUAGCAGAUCAGCACUGACAGUAAGGUAUUUACAGAAUGAAUGACUGUAACAUGUGAUUUAUUGAUUAAUCUGGAAAAGUGCAAGUUCACAUUCUGGUUGGCUGUUCAGUGUAAUCAAAUUCCACCCACAUCAGAGGUGCUCAGGGAAAACAGCAAUAUGGAACAUAGUGGACAACCAUGCUAGCACACAGACAGAAACAUUUUGGUUGACAGUUGAUUCAAGGUUAUACUGUGGUAUGUUGAGGUGACUUCUGCUCCAAAAUUACCAGUACAAAACACAUAAUCAGGAAGAAAUUAAGCAGUGGAAGCCUGAUAUUAAAAACAUAUUAACAUUUGUGUAGAGUGUGUUAUGUAAAUGGAAAAUAUGUAUAUCUUAAUAUGCAGUAUCUAGACAGUAAAACUUGAUCUAAAAUAGAAGAAAUUUCAAGAAUAUAGUAUGGCUAACACCAAAAUUAUUGACAUAGAUCUAGAUAUAUCUUAAGAGUUUUAGCUGAGUGAUUCAAACUUUAUUACCUGCAUCAUAAUAGUCAAGUGCACUGUUUCCUUUUAGUUAUGAACUUUAUUUGCUUGUGGUAAAUUACUGUUUAAUGCUAUGUUCAUUAGUAAGUCUAGUAAGUCAGUCUGUCAAAUAUUGUUCACUCUAAAAUAUUCAUUGAGAAGUGUUUCUAUAUUUAUCAGAAAAACUACAACAAAUAUCACACUAACCUUGAUUCAUAUCUCAAAGGUCAAGGUCACACUUACAUGUCAAAGGUCAAGUCAGAUAUUAGUCUAACUGUAAAUAUGACAUGCAUGAAGCCCUUUUAUUUGGCAGAUAUAAUUGUCCAACAAGAUUGUGUUUCAAAGGGUCAGGGUCACAGUUCAGGGUCAAAGGUGGUGCCAGAUACAACAAAUAUAAUUAAUGAACAUCAUCAACUUUGGAAAGUCAGAGACUUUGAAAAUCGAAUACUAUCAUUAAAAAGUUUCAAGAAAUCUUACUGUCUUGAAAUAUUUUGCUUAAUUUGCUCACUUUACAUGUAUUAUGCAUGAAACAUUUUUUAUAAGUACUGUGAACGAAUUUUGUAUACCAUUUUAACAAAGAAAUAUUUGUUUAGUUUAAAGUAGAUGUGUGUGUGUGAAAACCAUGAUACGGUCACUGAAAAUACAGAAUUUCAUUUGUCCUUGUUGAUGGUACCUUGACCUCUGGAAAGUACUUUAAUGCAUUUUUGUUGUCUGAUUUUCUGGUAGACAAAUGUCUUACGCUUAAUUCACUUUUAUAUGGCACUUGGUGCAGAUCUUGCUAGCUACAUAUCAUGUUAAUAUGUAAUGAGUGAUAUGUUCAGUAAAAAUUAAUCCUUACGAGGUUUUGUUUUCAAUUUCAUUAUCUUCAUUGGAAUGUACGAAAUGAAAAAAAGAGGAGUGAAGACUGCAACUUAAGCUUGUCUAUGAGCAGUAUUAAAACAGUUCACCUAUUUGACCAAAUCUCAAUGUCUAGAUUUUUAUGCCUAUGCCCCUCCC